rnacentral:rRNA from 1 species
UGGGGAAUCUUGCACAAUGGGGGCAACCCUGAUGCAGCGACGCCGCGUGAGCGAUGAAGCCCUUCGGGGCGUAAAGCUCUUUCGACCGGAACGAUAAUGACGGUACCGUAAGAAGAAGCACCGGCUAACUACGUGCCAGCAGCCGCGGUAAUACGUAGGGUGCGAGCGUUAAUCGGAAUUACUGGGCGUAAAGCGUGCGCAGGCGGUUUUGUAAGACAGAUGUGAAAUCCCCGGGCUUAACCUGGGAACUGCGUUUGUGACUGCAAGGCUGGAGUACGGCAGAGGGGGGUGGAAUUCCACGUGUAGCAGUGAAAUGCGUAGAGAUGUGGAGGAACACCGAUGGCGAAGGCAGCCCCCUGGGCCUGUACUGACGCUGAGGCACGAAAGCGUGGGUAGCAAACA